rnacentral:lncRNA from 1 species
AGGAAGGAGCAUGGAGAAGACGAGAACAAGGCUCUCAGAAGGAACUGGUGUGGCUGGAGCCAUAAGAACUCGUUGUGGAGGAGGUGAGGAGAGGGCAAAUACAAUUUCUGACUUACAUAAUGAUGUAUGCACAAGAAGCCUCUCCUUGAAUGUAUUAAUUCAGCAAACAGUUAUGGAGUCCUUACAAUGUGCUAGUGGAACUUUGAAGAUGAACCCAAAUUUGGAUCCUGGCCUGAAAAGGCUCAAAGCCUAAUACGGGGGCCUGGAUCCAAAUGUGAAACUUAUCUGCUUUUAUUAACCAGUCAACCACCUCCUGCAAAAACAACAACAGCAACAACAACAGAAAAAACAAAAACAAAAACAAAAAAAAAAACUCUGCAUACACAAGACCUUUGUUUCUACAAGAGACUUGGCUAAAGGUUUGGGCACGCAUAGCCCCAAAAUUAAAAAUGGAAAAUUGAA